CACGUAGGGGGGCAAGCGUUGUCCGGAAUCAUUGGGCGUAAAGAGCUCGUAGGCGGUGUGUCACGUCGGCCGUGAAAACCUGCAGCUUAACUGUGGGCGUGCGGUCGAUACGGGCAUCACUGGAGUCCGGAAGAGGAGAGUGGAAUUCCUGGUGUAGCGGUGAAAUGCGCAGAUAUCAGGAAGAACACCUAUGGCGAAGGCAGCUCUCUGGGAACGGUACUGACGCUGAGACGCGAAAAGCGUGGGGGAGCGAACAGGG
rnacentral:rRNA from 1 species